CCUACGGGUGGCUGCAGUGAGGAAUAUUGGUCAAUGGGCGCGCGCCUGAACCAGCCAAGUAGCGUGAAGGAUGACUGCCCUAUGGGUUGUAAACUUCUUUUAUCAAGGAAUAAAGUGAGCCACGUGUGCCUUUUUGUAGGUACCUUAUGAAUAAGGAUCGGCUAACGCCGUGCCAGCAGCCGCGGUAAUACGGAGGAUUCGAGCGUUAGUCGGAUUUAUUGGGUUUAAAGGGAGCGUAGGUGGGUUGUUAAGUCAGUUGUGAAAGUUUGCGGCUCAAACGUAAAAUUGCAGUUGAUACUGGCAGUCUUGAGUACGGUUGAGGUAGGCGGAAUGCGUGGUGUAGCGGUGAAAUGCAUAGAUAUCACGAAGAACUCCGAUUGCGAAGGCAGCUUACUAAACUGCCACUGACAUUGAUGCACGAAAGUGUGGGUAUCAAACAGGAUUAGAUACCCUUGUAGUC
rnacentral:rRNA from 1 species